UGUCCGAUUUCACUCUUCGAUUUUAUCUUCCGAAGAAAAAAAACUUUAUUUGGUCAAGAGAUGUUUACAUAAGCUGUAGUUUUGCUGAUCAGGCUAUGUAAUUUAAUAUAAAGGGAUCAAUGAGGCAAUAUAUCAGGGCUCAGUUGUAAAUUCCCGGUCUCCCCGUGUGCUGGGGCGGGCGGCGCCGCGGCGGGGCGGGCGUCGGGACGCGGGGCCGCCAGUGGGACCGUCACCGCCGUGGAGGAGAAGCGUUGUGUGUCGUGCGCGGGGGCGAUGCGGUAAAUUUUAAGGAAACCAGUGUGACAUGGAGGUGGAGGUGUUGUAUGCCUACGAGCCGCAGCAUGAGGACGAGCUCCGCCUCUGCGUUGGGGACACCAUCACCAAUGUCUCCCGCCAGGAGACUGGGUGGUACCGGGGCACCGUCGGCCCCAACUCCGGCGUCUUCCCCGACAACUUCGUCAAGUGAUGGAUUAAGGGGAGGAGACGACCGCGCCCCAGCUCUGCGGCGCGACCCGUCUUCAGAGUAAUCCUGUUGUUUGCGAUUCCUCGUGACACUGCAAGUCUGAUGACGCCCAGAUAUAAAAGUUCUCGGUCUCCCCAAAAACGAUAGAAAAAAAGGCACGUUCUCUUUGGCACUGUGACCUUAUAAGUGCCACUGAACGCCGCCCUUGCGUGACCUCAACUUCGUGAACUCCUUACGUGACCCCAAACCGUAAAAGGGAGCGGAAGGGAGAGAAUCAGACCCCAGAACAAAAAGGAAGAACAUCACCUGAGUCCCACACAAAAAGCGGCCAGUGCCAAUACUCGUGACUUGAGGGAGAGCGAGGGAGUGCCACCCCUAUACCCUUCACGUGACCCCUGACCCCUCGUGACCCCCCCGUGACGCCCCCUGGUGGUGGCAUGGGGCGGGGCAGGGCGAGGCCAUGUUCCUGGUGUGCUGCUCACGCCCCAAGAGGUACAGCUUCACCCCCAGCUACUCCUUCUGCCUGCACCGCGCACCUGUACCCGCCACCCCAAGACAGGUAGUUGAAGGCUGGGAAGGAAAGAAGAAUAGAGAAAUGCGGAGAAAUGAAGAGAGAGAAGGAAGAAGAAAGACAAGAGAAAAGAAGAACGUUGAAGAAGGGGAGACUGUAGCAACUUGAACCGUGGUACUAAUUUAUGGAUUGUUCAUGAAUAAUCGGUGAAAAAGUGAUAAUAAGUGUUAUGGAAGGAGUUAAGGAAAGCAAAAAGAGCGGCAGAAAGAAAACGAAAGGAAGGGA